rnacentral:rRNA from 1 species
UACGGAGGGUGCAAGCGUUAUCCGGAUUCACUGGGUUUAAAGGGUGCGUAGGUGGGCAGGUAAGUCAGUGGUGAAAUCCCCGAGCUUAACUUGGGAACUGCCGUUGAUACUAUCUGUCUUGAAUAUCGUGGAGGUUAGCGGAAUAUGUCAUGUAGCGGUGAAAUGCUUAGAUAUGACAUAGAACACCAAUUGCGAAGGCAGCUUACUACGGAUCGAUUGACACUGAGGCACGAAAAGCGUGGGGGAUCAAACAGG